CCUACGGGGUGCAGCAGUGAGGAAUAUUGGUCAAUGGCCGGAAGGCUGAACCAGCCAUGCCGCGUGAAGGUCAGUGCCCUAUGGGCGUUAAACUUCUUUUGUGCGGGAGCAAUAAUGGUCACGUGUGGCCAGACGAGAGUACCGUACGAAUAAGCAUCGGCUAACUCCGUGCCAGCAGCCGCGGUAAUACGGGGGAUGCAAGCGUUAUCCGGAUUUAUUGGGUUUAAAGGGUGCGUAGGCUGUGAGGUAAGUCAGCGGGGAAAUGCCCCCGCUCAACGGGGUGAAGUGCCAUUGAUACUGCCUUGCUGGAAUGCGGAUGCCGUGGGAGGAAUGUGUGGUGUAGCGGUGAAAUGCAUAGAUAUCACACAGAACACCGAUUGCGAAGGCAUCUCACGAAUCCGCGAUUGACGCUGAUGCACGAAAGCGUGGGUAUCAAACAGGAGUAGAUACCCGGGUAGUC
rnacentral:rRNA from 1 species